rnacentral:rRNA from 1 species
UGGGGAAUUUUGGACAAUGGGCGCAAGCCUGAUCCAGCCAUGCCGCGUGAGUGAAGAAGGCCUUCGGGUUGUAAAGCUCUUUCGGCCGGGAAGAAAUCGUACGGGUUAAUACCCUGUGCGGAUGACGGUACCGGCAUAAGAAGCACCGGCUAACUACGUGCCAGCAGCCGCGGUAAUACGUAGGGUGCGAGCGUUAAUCGGAAUUACUGGGCGUAAAGCGUGCGCAGGCGGUUUUUUAAGAUAGGCGUGAAAUCCCCGGGCUCAACCUGGGAACUGCGCUUAUGACUGGAAGACUAGAGUAUGGCAGAGGGGGGUGGAAUUCCACGUGUAGCAGUGAAAUGCGUAGAGAUGUGGAGGAACACCGAUGGCGAAGGCAGCCCCCUGGGCCAAUACUGACGCUCAUGCACGAAAGCGUGGGGAGCAAACAGG